rnacentral:rRNA from 1 species
GAUGAACGCUGGCGGCGUGCCUAAUACAUGCAAGUCGAGCGAACAGACGAGGAGCUUGCUCCUCUGACGUUAGCGGCGGACGGGUGAGUAACACGUGGAUAACCUACCUAUAAGACUGGGAUAACUUCGGGAAACCGGAGCUAAUACCGGAUAACAUGUUGAACCGCAUGGUUUAACAGUGAAAGACGGUCUUGCUGUCACUUAUAGAUGGAUCCGCGCCGCAUUAGCUAGUUGGUAAGGUAACGGCUUACCAAGGCAACGAUGCGUAGCCGACCUGAGAGGGUGAUCGGCCACACUGGAACUGAGACACGGUCCAGACUCCUACGGGAGGCAGCAGUAGGGAAUCUUUCGCAAUGGGCGAAAGCCUGACUGAGCAACGCCGCGUGAGUGAAGAAGGUCUUCGGAUCGUAAAACUCUGUUAUUAGGGAAGAACAAAUGUGUAAGUAACUAUGCACGUCUUGACGGUACCUAAUCAGAAAGCCACGGCUAACUACGUG